AGUUGCUUAGUUUAAGUUAGAACAGUGGUUUUCAAAACCUCAGAUGAGUUGAUUCAGCGGCUG
rnacentral:tRNA from 1 species